AAGGUAUGGCACUUCUUUAUCAAGAUGGAUUGACUAUUAUGGAUGCAUGCAUCUCCGUAGGGAAUUAUCUUGGUGCCUCCCGAUUCUUAUGUGAUAUAUGAAAUUCUGUUGCCAAUGAUAUGUGAAGACCUUUUCUUCUUGCUAGAUGAGAGAUCUUGGAAAUUAUAACCAAAGAAACGUUUUUCCAUGAAGAGGUGAAAUUAUAACUGGAAAACGUUUUUCCAUGAAGAGGUUAAUUUUAGGAAUACUACUACAUAUAAAUUACUUCAAAUGAGGAGAAAUCCUGAAGUUUGAAGAUGGAAACUUACCUACCCUAUUAAGACCUGCAAAUUCUAGUGUGGCUGAAGGAAACAAUUUCCCUGGUUUACAUGAACCUUGCGGGUCACCCCAUGACCAGAGUUUGUAAUUUUGGUUUUGCGGAGUGAAUUUGGCUGGUUCGUGUCUCCUGCCGUGGUCCUUGCUUGGGUGACCAGAUCCACUGACCAUCUGGGCUUAGCUUAGCGACUUCGAUCAACUAAAAUUGUUACAACCUGGACUCCAAUGGAUCUGGUAUGGAAUUUGGGGGACCCAUGCUUGAUGGUUCCUGUGCCCCGGACCAAAUAUGUUGAUAAUCACUUUUAUGGGGAUAGGAGAGGAUUGUGUCAGGCAAGGGCUCCAAUUUGUCCUGUGACCUUGGUGAUUACAAUGCCCCCCCUGACUUCAUGAACUUACCUUUAAUAGAAAAAGAAUCCCUACGUCCUUUGUCAUCUAAAGUUAAAUCUCUGAUAUUGAAGUGUUUAUCUUGUGGUUACCUUUAAUAGAAAAAGAAUCCCUAUGUCCUGGAAGUUGCUGUAUGCUACAAUAUGAUUCAUUUGGUUCAAUCUCUGUUUGUGCAGACAUAUGGGCCGAUUAUAGCUGGAGUUCCCCAGCUGCUAUCGAAAUUUUCCUUCAACAUAAUUG
rnacentral:lncRNA from 1 species